AUGCUCGCUUUGGCAGCACAUAAACUAAAAUUGGAAUGAUACAGAGAAGAUUAGCAUGGCCCCUGCACAGGAUGAUACACAAAUUAGUGAAGCAUUUCAUAAAAGA